rnacentral:lncRNA from 1 species
GUGGUUGACCUUGUCUGCUGGCCUGCCUGAGCCAUAAACCCCUGGGGCGACUUUGGCCUGUGAGCCUGGAGAGGCUUCUGGUCCUGGGGGUGGUGCCCUGAAUGUGGAGUCGCAAAACCCUAACACCUGUUCCAGAUCUGCGGGGCAGCAUCAGAUAAGCAAACUAAGGCUUGGAGAGCUGAGAGCUGAGAUCACAGGCCCAGGCUGUAAGAGGGAAGGUGGGACCAGAAAGAAUCCACAUUGCUCUCACCACCUCAAGAACUCUGAGGGCUGUGCUCACCGCUGUUCUGAAGCAUCACUUCCGCUCUGAAGAUCAGGGCAGCCCGAUUUCCCACGCGAGAGCGGAUAGGGCUGCCCCUGGGAUCUGAGCCAUGUCUGUGACCUACCCCACAGCUCACAACCAUGCUGGAUCCUUAACCAACUGAACAAGGCGAGGGAUCGAACCCUCACCCUCCUGGAUGGGUUGGGUUCAUUACCGCCGAGCCACGACAGGAAUUCCUCUUUAGUUCUUGUUUUAUUCAUUCAUUCAUUCAUUCAUUCAUUCAUUCAUUUACUUAUUUAUUAUGGCCCCAGAGUGGCUUAUGGAAGUUCCUCAGCCAGGGGCCUGAAUCCACAGCCACGCCAGAUCCUUUAACCCACUGCUUCGGGAUGGGAAUUGAACCCACGCCUCUGCAGUGACUGGAGCUGCUGCAGUCGGAUUCUUAACCCACUGUGUCACAGCAGGAACUCCUUGUUUCCUUGAUUUAAGUCCUCUUGUCUCCCCUCAUGACCGGCAGAGCUCUUCCUCCUGCUGCCCUGACCUGCUUCGGGGUCAGACGCUAUGACACCUCCUCCAGGAAGCCCUUCCUGGUUUCCACUGCCUGCGGAGACCCCAGUCUUCAGAGAGUCCCAGAGCCUGCCUCUCAGAGCCUCUCAUCUGGCUUUCAGGGUGCAAAGCCCCUCCUCCUGGAGGUGCCAUGUCCCCACAGGGCACUCCUGCCCAGUUCAGCCUCCGCCCUGGCCCCUGUGAGACUCCCCAGCACCAGCAGGAUAAAUCACCCUCUUCUCUGGGCUAGGCUGGGCCUUUGGGUUUGUUCUGUUGCCCCCUCGUUCCGCAUCUGCCUCCUGCGGGCUGGUCAUCACGCAGACGGGAUUGAAGAAGGCAUGUCCCCCCGGCCUCCCUCUCAGGGUGGAGCAGCCAUCAUUCCUGGUGCUCAGCUGCCCGGAAGUCUCCCUUUCAUCCUCAUGAUGGUUAAUUUCAUGUGUCCACUUGCCUGGGCUAAGGGAUGUCCAGACAGCUGGUCACACAUCACUUCUGGGUGUGUCUGUGUGGAAGGUUCCAGAAGAGAGGAGCACUGGAAUCGAUGGACUGAGUGAAGAAGUAGAUGGGCAUCACCCGUUCCCCGAGGACGCAAACAGAACAUAAAGAUGAGCCACGUGCUCUCUGAGCUGGGACCUCCGCCUUCUGCUUUUGGGCAUCACGCUUCUAAGCUCCGCAGAACUUUAGACCCAGACUGAAUUCUACCACCCACUUUCCUGCUUCUCCAGCUUGCAGAUGACAGACUGCGGGGGUUUGGAGCCUCAUAAUUGCAGGAACUAAUUCUUGUACUAAAUGUAUAUAAAAUGUAUGUUUAUAUAGAAAA